CAGACUUUAUUGUUCCAGUGACGCUCCUUCCACAACAAGCAAUCUGUGCAGACUCUCAUCUGUCUCUCAGCAGGCUGUCGCUCACCUCAGUGAUGGAUCGAGACGUAACACAAGGCUGCUUUCGGUUAUUAAUGAUGCUUUCGCUUUGCAUCUUCGCUCUCUCUGAAGGGAUGAGUGUGUGUUUGUGUGAAAAGAUGGACACCGUCUUUAACGAGAGCGUGAGGGGAAAAAAGGGUAGUGUAGUUAAAGGUUUGGAGGCUUUUGUUGUGACAACCAAAAGAAAAGUGCAACAAAUGAUUCAUGUCUGCCUUUCCGGGCAUUCACACCUGCAGCCUGUGAAAACCAGAGAAAGGGUGCAGCAACAUCAGACAACUGUGGUUCUUUAGUUUGACUCGGUGUUAUUUUGUCUCAUUUCUUUGGAAAGAGAGGAGGUGUGUGUUUGAGAGCAGCCUCACAGUUAUCUAAAAUACCACAUUAAUAAAAUGUCAGAGGAGAAGAGGAGUAGAAGUACAGUUCAUUUAAGGACAUUUCACUUAAUUUUAUCAAUAAAACUACUACUGUUAAUCUACUUGAGGAUCUGGAUGUAUUUAAAGUACUUAGCCUUAAUUUUUAAAGGGAUAUUCCGGCAUAAAUUUAAGGUAGGGUCAAACACACCAUAACACUGAGUUAGACACCCCCUCGAGUUGCGGACUGCUUGCCUCUCUAGUUAUACCAACUUUACAACACAGCGGUCUGAGGAGCCAUAAACAAACCUCAACCAAAAAGUCACUCUAUAACCACAAGUAAUGCUCAGAACAGCACCUAACGUCAUCAACAGUACAUAUAGGGUCCCAGCCAUAGUACUAGCCAACAGACAUCUUUUUAGCUUUGCCUGAUAUAUUUAGCAAAGAGACCAAACACAACUCACCCACUCUCCUCCAGCAGCCACUUGCUUGUGGGGGAAGCCCUGACAAGUCGAUCACCAACUGCAGCGGAGUUUCUCAGCUCAAAGAAGAACAUUUAUGAUUCUUACUUCAUGGAAAUCCAAUCAGACCGAGGCGCUAAGGCAGAAGAACUACCGUGUCUACAGUGCAAAAUGAUUAAUAUGAUGAUUUUUACUUCAUUGACAUGAUCUGCUGCACUCGUUGAUAGACUCGUCAAGGCUCCCGCACAAACAAGCAGCUCCUGGAGGAGAGUGGAUGACACAUCUACGCAAAAUCACGAGAUGUUUUCCAAUAAUGAAUGAAAAUUUUCAAUCUGACAGAAUUACAUAUUUUAUUCAUUAUUGUACUAUUAGGUAUUAAAAAACUGGAAAUCUAAAACCAUGCCAAAACAUAUGUGAAAUAUCUUUAAACAAGAAUUAUGGAGCUGUCACCUCAGUGUAGCUCCACUCAGGUGUAAAGAGAUAUUUCGACUAAUAAUGAGCCAAAACACUUUUUAAAAUGUCAGGGGUUUUUGUGCAGAAAUCAUCCAACAGCUAAUUGUGAUGCAGUUGGUAGAUUUUAGCCAUUUUUUUCUGCUGUAACUGAUGUAAUGUGAAAUGUAAAGAACAAGCACGGACUUUAAAAACUACUCAGAAACAUAUUUAAUCUUUUUUUUUUCUUUAAAUAACGCUCUGCUUGUACAUGUUGCUAUUCUUAUAUUAGGAUAAAGACUGUUGUACUCUGAUGAAACCACCUUUGCUGAAAUGUGCGGAUUCAUUGUCGCUUUCUGUUUCAAUACAACAACAAAACAAAACAAAGCAAAGGGUGACGGGUACCAGGCUCUCCUGAGUAGUGCAGAGCGAGGGGCACCAUGCUCUUCCUCCAGGGUGAGGGGGUUUCCCUCCUUGGAGCAGGUGCCGGCAGGGUCUCAGACAGGGAAACAGGAACUGAGGUUGGGAGUUGUGCUCUGGGGGGGCUGAGACAAUUGAGAGCUCCCAGAAAUAAAGUCCUCCACUGUUGCUUUAAAAACACUUCUUUUGCGAAAGAGAAGUCUGCCUGUCCCUGUCCUCUCUAUCUCAUUUGAAGUCACAGCGCAGAUAGAGUUGAUCAUGUGUCACUUCAUGUACUGCCUCCUUCAGUUCAUUCUGUCACAUUUAAGUCCAACAUCCCAACUCAAGAGAAGUUCAAUGUAAGAAAUAAAGGAAACCACAGGGAGGAGAAGAUGCACUCCGACUCAAGGACGUGACAAGACAGAGGGAAACGAGAGAAACUCAACACACAGAGAGGGAUAAUCAAACAAAGGUGUGACAACAAGACACAGGUAAAACAAACAAAGACAAUCAAACAGGAAAGAAACACAGAGACAGGAAGUCAUACUAAAGACACAGAGGGAGAAAGAAGUACAAAAUAAAACUGGAAACACUAAACACACAAGUGCAGUAUUGACAAAAUGGACAAGUAAGCUCACCUUUCAUGCUCUCAAGACAAGCAACACACAGACAUGAACACCAGGAUCAGGUCUGACAAAAUACCACAGGAGAAGCAACACCAAGAAGAAAAGCACCAGUUCAACAACAACUACAACAACAAAAAAGAGACACAAAAAUGUGGGAAAGAUAUCUUAAAUAAACCAGGAACUGAGAACUUGAAUGACCAACAUAUGUAAAACUAAAAAUGGACCACAUAUGAAUGAAAGUUCUCCUUUAACAAGUAAAAUAAGCAAAAGUUCCCUUUCUAUUUCUAAAGAAGAAAAGACUGGUCAGGUCACAUGCAGAUUUAGUUUUAGAUAUAAAAAGAAAAGAAGGAAAUGACCCUGAGAAGGAAACAGCUUUGUCCAAAAAAACACAAAACUGUCAGUGUUAGUUUUUUUAAAUUUAUAUUUCUUUCUCUGGUUCUUUGCGGUCCUAGCCUGUGAAUGAUGGCAACAUUUGCAGGAAAGACAGAAUGGUGUUUGCAUGCUUCACACCAACAGUGAAAACCUCGGGUGAGAAUUUUUAUCAUGUUUAUGAAGACUGAAAUUUAACAAAUAAAUACAAGCAUACAAGAUGUUUUAUGAUAUGUCUGCAUCUUGUGUGAUAGGAGAAGUGUCAGACAAGCAGCUAAAGAAGCAGUCCUCACAGGAGCUUUAAAGAAAUCUGUCAGAGAGGACACACAAGUUUACAUGAACAUUGUGGCAAACAAAGAUCCGGUGUUAAACAUAUUUUGAUGUGCCAAAACAUGAUGCAGAACCACAAA
rnacentral:lncRNA from 1 species